AAACGCUGACUCCUAACAUCUGCCAGUUUCCGUGGUGUAGAUACUCCCGCCAGGGCCCAUUUCAAGCUCUGAGAGUGAUGUAAGCAGAGGAGGGGUGCCUGCAGGCACCUAUCCAGAGCCAAUUCCAGCUCCAGCACCCCACUGGGCGGCCAGAGAGGUUCCCGCGUACCAGGCUCCCGCCUCCGCACCUCACGUGCAUGAGCUCAUGGAAUCCUCAUCACGGCUCUACCGCACAGCUGCUUCUCUUGCCUCUGUUCCGCAGAUGGGGAAACUGAGGCACAGACAGUCUGGCUCUGGCACCUGACCACACUAUACUGCCUCUCUUUCUUGUGCUUAAAAUCAAACCCAAACGCCUCACUGUGGCGACAAGAGCUAGGCUGCAUCCCUGCAUUCGUCUCCUUCCCCAUCGUGUGUCCCACACGCACUCCUACACGCCCUUCUGGUCACACCUGGCUCCUCCUAGCACUUGUUCCUCUGCACCAUGCUGCUGGCCUUUGCCCCUUGGUUCCCUCUGCCCGGAAGGCUCUUCUCCAGCUCUGAGGUGCCGGCUUAAAGGUCACCUCCCCGGAGAGCCUUCCCUGACCACCCAUUUGCCUCUCUUUCACCUCUAUCUCUUUCCUUCCUUCCCAGUGCGUCUCACAACCAGUAGUGUUCUAUUUAUUUGCCUAACUGUUGAGCAGCGGUUCUCAGUGGGGGACAGCGGGCCAAGGGGCGAGUUGAUAUUGCAGUUGGUAAAGUCUUGAGACAUACUCAGUUUGUUGUCACAACUCAGGCACUUCAGUGACAGAGACUGGAUUUCCACACCGCAGUCCAUCAAAACUAAUCAGUUGGCUGUGUUCCAUCGCUCAGCAACUGACAGCUUCACCAGGAUGAAUGAAGAUGAUCAUAUCAGUACCCCCUUGUGGGCUGGUUGAGAAGCUCAAAGGAGGGCGUGUGUGUGAUACAUCUAUGAGACAACUGAAGCUCAGAGACUUGAACGCCAGGCCUGAAGUCGUACUGCUCCUUACCUUGGGGGAAGGGUCUCCACUCAACCCUUCAAGUCUUUGAGGACCUUCUGUGACCUGUAUCCAGUGCUGGACAUUGAGGGUGCAGUAAAGAGCAAGAUACAUCCCUGCUCCGUAUUCACACAAUGUUGAAAAUCAGAAUUUCCUUUAAGAGUGA
rnacentral:lncRNA from 1 species